rnacentral:rRNA from 1 species
GACGAACGCUGGCGGCGUGCUUAACACAUGCAAGUCGAACGAUGAAGAAGAGAAACGCGAACUUCGGUUCAAAUUUCACUUCGGAUUAGUGGCAGACGGGUGAGUAACGCGUGAGCAACCUACCUCUUACAAAGGGAUAGCCUCGGGAAACCGUGAUUAAUACCAUAUGACACAUUCAUAAGGCAUCUUAAGAAUGUUAAAGCUACGGCGGUAAGAGAUGGGCUCGCGUCCCAUUAACUAGUUGGUGAGGUAACGGCCCACCAAGGCGACGAUGGGUAACCGGCCUGAGAGGGUGAACGGUCACAUUGGAACUGAGACACGGUCCAAACUCCUACGGGAGGCAGCAGUGGGGAAUAUUGCACAAUGGAGGGAACUCUGAUGCAGCGACGCCGCGUGAGCGAUGAAGGAAUUCGUUUCGUAAAGCUCUGUUCUAUGGGAAGAAAAGGACUGUACCAUAGGAGAAAGCCCCGGCUAAAUACGUG